GGUCAACUAAAGCUGAUCGACACAGUAGAGAAUUUUUAAGCGAUCUAAAUGAUGACCAACUAGAAGAACAACUGAUUAGAUCGAGCCAAAGGCUUGAAGAACUCAACAAAGAGAUUCUGCAGAUGGAAGAUAAGUUAGAAGAGAAAGGAAAAUCUGUUUUGCACUUGCAGCAGAAGUCCAAGAAAUUGGAAGACUCUUUGAUUAAUGCAAAGAAAACCUCAUCAUACAAUAAGACACAGUUGACCAAGCUUCACAAAUGUUUUCUGCAAGUAAAAGAUUAUACGGAAAGACUUAAAAGCAGUGAAAAACAACUUCAGGUUGG